rnacentral:rRNA from 1 species
AUUGAACGCUGGCGGCAUGCUUUACACAUGCAAGUCGAACGGUAACAGGCCGCAAGGUGCUGACGAGUGGCGAACGGGUGAGUAAUGCAUCGGAACGUGCCCAGUCGUGGGGGAUAACGCAGCGAAAGCUGUGCUAAUACCGCAUACGAUCUGUGGAUGAAAGCGGGGGACCGUAAGGCCUCGCGCGAUUGGAGCGGCCGAUGUCAGAUUAGGUAGUUGGUGGGGUAAAGGCUCACCAAGCCGACGAUCUGUAGCUGGUCUGAGAGGACGACCAGCCACACUGGGACUGAGACACGGCCCAGACUCCUACGGGAGGCAGCAGUGGGGAAUUUUGGACAAUGGGCGCAAGCCUGAUCCAGCAAUGCCGCGUGCAGGAAGAAGGCCUUCGGGUUGUAAACUGCUUUUGUACGGAACGAAACGGUCCUGGUUAAUACCCGGGGCUAAUGACGGUACCGUAAGAAUAAGCACCGGCUAACUACGUGCCAGCCGCCGCUGUAACAC